GGCUCGAGAGGAGAGAGGUGCCCUGUCCUGCCCUUUGCCUGGGGUUUCUUUUCCUCUGCGUGAGCAGGGCCUUGUGAGGUCACCGGGAAUAGAAAAGGCGUUUGUGCAAAUGAGGGGCAGCUGAAAGCAACCCACUGUUUCUGGUCUGUCAAGAGUCUGACUCUGAAGCGUCACGUUGGAAUUAUUUCAAAGGGAGGUUACAAACCUAGCUGAUCAGAGCUCCACAAGUGGAGUAACAGUUCCUGACUGAUAAUGAAGAAAUAAAAGUUUCUGCUGGCAAAUA